rnacentral:rRNA from 1 species
CCUACGGUAGGCAGCAGUGAGGAAUAUUGGUCAAUGGACGAGAGUCUGAACCAGCCAAGUAGCGUGAAGGAUGACUGCCCUAUGGAUUGUAAACUUCUUUUAUAUGGGAAUAAAAUGUUCCACGUGUGGGAUUUUGUAUGUACCAUAUGAAUAAGGAUCGGCUAACUCCGUGCCAGCAGCCGCGGUAAUACGGAGGCUCCGCGCGUUAUCCGGAUUUAUUGGGUUGAACGGGGGCGUAGGUGGAUUGUUAAGUCAGUUGUGAAAGUUUGCGGCUCAACCGUAGAAUUGCAGUUGAAACUGGCAGUCUUGAGUACAGUAGAGGUGGGCGGAAUGCGUGGUGUAGCGGUGAAAUGCUUAGAUAUCACGAAGAACUCCGAUUGCGAAGGCAGUUCACUGGACUGCAACUGACACUGAGGCUCGAAAGUGUGGGUAUCAAACAGGAUUAGAUACCCCAGUAGUC